rnacentral:rRNA from 1 species
UACGUAGGGUGCAGGCGUUAAUCGGAAUUACUGGGCGUAAAGCGUGCGCAGGCGGCCUCUUAAGUCAGAUGUGAAAUCCCCGGGCUUAACCUGGGAACUGCACUUGUGACUGCAUAGCUGGAGUACGGCAGAGGGGGAUGGAAUUCCGCGUGUAGCAGUGAAAUGCGUAGAUAUGCGGAGGAACACCGAUGGCGAAGGCAGUCCCCUGGGCCUGUACUGACGCUCAUGCACGAAAGCGUGGGGAGCAAACAGG